AAAGGAAUAGACGGGGGCCCGCACAAGCGGAGGAACAUGUGGUUUAAUUCGAUGAUACGCGAGGAACCUUACCCGGGCUUGAAUCCAGGAGGAAGGAGACGGAGACGUCGACGCCCCUCGGGGCCUCCUGGAAGGUGCUGCAUGGUUGUCGUCAGCUCGUGCCGUGAGGUGUCGGCUCAAGUGCCAUAACGAGCGCAACCCCUCUCCCCAGUUGCCAUCGGGCCAAGCCGGGCACUCUGGGGACACUGCCGCCGCAAGGUGCGAGGAAGGCGGGGACGACGUCAAAUCAGCACGGCCCUUACGUCCGGGGCCACACACGUGUUACAAUGGCCGGCACAGAGCGUCGGGGUCGCGCGAGCGUCCUCCAAUCGUGAAAUCCGGUCCCAGUUCGGACUGGGGUCUGCAACCCGACCCCACGAAGCUGGAUUCGCUAGUAAUCGCGCAUCAGCCAUGGCGCGGUGAAUACGUUCCCGGGCCUUGCACACACCGCCCGU
rnacentral:rRNA from 1 species